UACGUAGGGCGCAAGCGUUGUCCGGAAUCAUUGGGCGUAAAGAGCUCGUAGGCGGCCUGUCGCGUCUGCUGUGAAAUCCCGGGGCUUAACCCCGGGCGUGCAGUGGAUACGGGCUGGCUGGAGGCAGGCAGGGGAGAACGGAAUUCCCGGUGUAGCGGUGAAAUGCGCAGAUAUCGGGAGGAACACCGGUGGCGAAGGCGGCUCACUGGCUCGUAACUGACGCUCAUGCACGACAGCGUGGGGAUCAAACAGG
rnacentral:rRNA from 1 species